GCUUUAGAGAGAAAUGAAUGUCACUAAUCUUGUUAUGUGACUCUCUACCCUUUUUAGUCCCUAGCGUGGUGUUUUGCGGUGGUGUGGUCCAGCUGCUGGAUUGGUAGAGUGUUUAUUCCAUCAGGACUGUGUUAGCUGUGUGUUUCUGUUGCCCACAGAUGUACCGGAACACGCCACCAAGCUGCAGCGCCUGUCACAGAGCAGGACCAAACUGAGGCUCAGUCCUUGGAAGUGAAGAAGCUUUUUGAGGAAUACAACAAAAUGAUGUUCCUGCUGUCCAAGCAGUUCACCCAAUGGGAUGAGACCCUGAGGAAGCUGGAGGAGGCCAAGGGCAUUCGGCCCGUGGAGUAGCUCCUGUCAACAUACGGAUGAGGAUGGUGGUGAUGAAGAAGAAGAAGAAGACUGUGGUGGGAGCUUUAGAUGAGACGUGUGUUCCAUGUGUUGCUUGUUCUUCUACAAUAAAUCCGAACAAAAGUGAGACAAAAGGAUCGCAACAUCUCACUCGCAUGUUUAACUGCUUAUCAGUUUUGCCAACAUUGAGUUGAAUCAGGUGAUGUAACAUCGAUACCUUAAUUGCCCCCCACUCCAUGAUAUUGUUGGUUCUCAACAAUUCUCAAAACCAACCUUAUUUAAUAAAAUCAUCACUAGGAAUGGAGCAAAUGUAAAAGAACUCGGUCUUGUGUGACUGUUCAUCAGUCGUCUGGAGGAACUCGCCGCCCAUCACGUGGCGUGUGGUUCAGACAUCUCGGAGAUGCUGCUGUUAUUUAUUUUCUGACAAUAGAGCAUUUUAUGUUUGCAAAAAAUCAACUCAACUUUCCAACACUGCCUCCCUACUGCAGGACAGUCACAAUACUUGUUGUUCUGCCCUUUACACAUGUUCUCUCUCUCACACACACACACACACACACACACACACAGAUAUCCUCUUCAAGGCUUUAGAUUUUCUCUCUGGAUGCCUUCUGAAAUGAUUUCUAAAAACUUCAAUUAGCUUAAUUAUUCUUUCCUAUAUUCUGGAUUUAAAAUGUUCUAUAUGUCUCCUUUCAUACAGCAUGACUGCUGUUAACACAAUAAAUAUUACUUUUUUCUUUCA